rnacentral:lncRNA from 1 species
AUGGACUUUCCAGAGUCAGAGUCAGUCACUGUUGACCUUUCAGAGUCAGGGUUAGUUCCUGUUCAGCUUCCAGAGUUGAGUCAGGUGCUCGGGGACCCUCCAGAGUCAGGGUUAGUCACCAUUGACCUUCCAGAGUUAAGCCAAGUCACUGGUGAUCUUCAAGGACAGAGUCAAGUCACCGGGGUUCUUCAUGAACAAAUGAAAGUCACCAAUAAUCUUCAUGAGCAGAGUCAAGUCAGCAUUGAUCUUCUGGAAUCCAGUAUAAACCCCAUGGUGUUACCAGAGUCUCGUCACUUCUCUGUGGAAAUGCCAGAGCCUCUCCACAUCUCUGCUGAACUGCCAGAGCCUCUCCACAUCUCUGCUGAACUGCCAGAGCCUCUCCACGUCUCUGCUGAACUGCCAGAGCCUCUCCACGUCUCUGCUGAACUGCCAGAGUCUCUCCUCAUCUCUGUGGAACUUUCAGAGGCUCGUCACGUCUCAGUCGAGCUCUUUAUUGUCCCAGAGUUUCUUUUGGUCUCCUCCCCCUUUUUAAAGCAUAAGCAUUGUUUAAAUACCUCAUUGGGGAGUUACAUUUACAUUAGGAGAGGAAUUUAUUUAAUUCAUGGGAGAAUUCAAGUCACCAGUGAUCUUCAUGAACAAAUGAAAGUCACCAAUGAUCUUCAUGAGCAGAGUCAAGUCAGCAUUGAUCUUCUGGAAUCCAGGAUAAACCCCAUGGUAUUACCAGAGCCUCUCCACAUCUCUGCUGAACUGCCAGAGCCUCUCCACAUCUCUGCUGAACUGCCAGAGCCUCUCCACAUCUCUGCUGAACUGCCAGAGCCUCUCCACGUCUCUGCUGAACUGCCAGAGUCUCUCCUCAUCUCUGUGGAACUUUCAGAGGCUCGUCACGUCUCAGUCGAGCUCUUUAUUGUCCCAGAGUUUCUUUUGGUCUCCUCCCCCUUUUUAAAGCAUAAGCAUUGUUUAAAUACCUCAUUGGGGAGUUACAUUUACAUUAGGAGAGGAAUUUAUUUAAUUCAUGGGAGAAUUCAAGUCACCAGUGAUCUUCAUGAACAAAUGAAAGUCACCAAUGAUCUUCAUGAGCAGAGUCAAGUCAGCAUUGAUCUUCUGGAAUCCAGGAUAAACCCCAUGGUAUUACCAGAGUCUCUCCACAUCUCUGCUGAACUGCCAGAGUCUCUCCACAUCUCUGCUGAACUGCCGGAGCCGUUCCACGUUUCUGCUGAACUAUCAGAAUCUCUCCUCAUCUCUGCGGAACUUCCAGAGGCUCGUCACGUCUCAGUCGAACUCUCUGAGCACCCGACUGAUCCUGUUGUGGCCUCGGAGGCUACUCUUAACAUGUUCAUGUUCUAA